rnacentral:rRNA from 1 species
GGGUGCGAUCAUACCAGCACUAAUGCACCGGAUCCCAUCAGAACUCCGCAGAUAAGCGUGCUUGGGCGAGAGUAGUACUAGGAUGGGUGACCUCUUGGGAAGUCCUCGUGUUGCACCCC